AGUGAACGCUGGCGGUAGGCCUAACACAUGCAAGUCGAACGGCAGCACAGUAAGAGCUUGCUCUUACGGGUGGCGAGUGGCGGACGGGUGAGGAAUACAUCGGAAUCUACUUUUUCGUGGGGAUAUCGGAGGGAAACUUACGCUAAUACCGCAAACGACCUACGGGUGAAAGCCGGUGAUCUUCGGCCCUUGCGCGAUUGAAUGAGCCGAUGUCGGAUUAGCUAGUUGGCGGGGUAAAGGCCCACCAAGGCGACGAUCCGUAGCUGGUCUGAGAGGAUGAUCAGCCACACUGGAACUGAGACACGGUCCAGACUCCUACGGGAGGCAGCAGUGGGGAAUAUUGGACAAUGGGCGAAAGCCUGAUCCAGCCAUACCGCGUGGGUGAAGAAGGCCUUCGGGUUGUAAAGCCCUGUUGUUGGGAAAGAAAAGCAGCAGGUUAAUACCCCGCUGUUCUGACGGUACCCAAAGAAUAAGCACCGGCUAACUUCGUG
rnacentral:rRNA from 1 species